ACAGGACCCGCUCGGGGCCCCGGGCUGCCUGCAGGCCGGGCCCUCCUGGCCCCAGCGCUGACCCCGGCCAGCUCGUGGGAAAUUAUCAGCUAGAGGUUAUCUGCCACUGAUUUGUUUGACCAUUGACGACUUACUUAAUUCUCUUCUGCCUCAGCAACCCAACUCAGAAAAAAUUCUUAAAAGACCUUUGCAAAUCUGCUGAGUUUUACAGGUCUCAUCCUCUAAAUAAGUGGAACAUCUCAAUCACACUUAAGAAGCAGAGGCAGUAAAGCCCAAAAAUAUGAGAUGGCACCAGCAGUCCGAGUCUUGGAAUUUUAAUCUCUGUUUGGUCAAUAACUUGUUGCAUGAUCCUUCAUGCAACUUCAACUGCUCUUUGUUUCAGUUUCUCUAUCUGUAAAGUGGGCGUAAUUACGUAAUUAUGGGGUUUUACAACUGUGUAAGUUACAAAAUAUCAUUGUAAGAAUUACAGAAAAAGAAUCCUUCUGAAACCUUUUAACUCUCAGUUCUUCCAAGGAUCUGUCCCUAACAUUUAGAUUAUAGCAAGCAAGGUAAAUACUAUAUGUCUGAGGAAAAAAUUGUAAUUAGCAUAUUUUUAAUAUUUAUAUGCCGGUUCUUCCUGGGAAGUGUACAAGGAUAUCACAGUGUUUAAAUCUCACCACGGCAACUGAUUUUUCUAUGCUCUAUCAAUAACAUACUUGCAGAACUGCCAGAUGGGGAGAGAAACUGCAGAGUUAGAAAAUAAUGGUCAGGUUUGUAAUGCAAUAAGAAGAAAGGAUCAGACAUUAAAAUCAUGAUUUUAAAAGAACGUAUUUUGACUAACUUUAAACAUUUAACCAACUUCUUAAAUAAAAGCUUUGUAUUGAUCUGUCUGCAAGAAUGACAAAAGAAAAAAGUGAAAAAAAUAAUAUAGCUAAGGCUGACACAAAUCCUAACCAAAUACAAUUAAUACUGAAUAUAAAAAUGGCAAAUAUCUGGAUGAUAAAUCUUGUGGCAGUAGGGGAGUCAGAAGGUCAGCACAAGCUUUGCAGUAAAGAUUUCUAAUAGGGUCUAUCCACUCUCUCCUUCUUCAAUUAUGGAGAAGACUGGUAAAAAAAACAGAGCUUUGAAAAUUUCGAUUCUCCCAGGCUCCUCUGUACACAACAGCAUUAAAAACAAACAUUUAAAGACAGCAAACUUGCAAAACCUCAGUGCAUUUUUAACCCAUUUUCAGGCAGCAUUAGAUCAACAACAGAAAUAAUUGCUGUCAGUUCGUACUUUUUGACCAAUAAUUCUCUGUAUUUCCUGCAAGAAACUUGAGUGAUGCAAAUGACCUUAUUUUUACAGCAUGCUUUUAUUAAAUAGUUUAUUAUUUUGGCAGACUAAUAAAGAUUUUGGUAUUUGCUUUUAUUUGCAAUAAUAUUACCACCACA